CGAGAGAAAUGCAGACAGGCUUCCCGCAGGAUGUCUUAAUGGUCUUGAUCCGCACCUUGAGGGGCCGAGAGGAGUUGGAGGAGGCAGGGAGUCGUUGCUGUCCUCAUCUGCAGCCUCGGCACCACUAGAGGGACUCUGGGGACUUCGAGGGGGGAGACUUGACCACCAGCCCCUCAUCUUCCUUCAGGUACCCUCACUGGAAGGAGCUGGGGAGGGUGGGGCUCCUGGAAGGGAUGGUUCACAGACCCCAAAUCCAUCCUCGCAUCAGAGAAGCCCCUGAAGCAUCUUCCUUGGUUACUCCCCCAGCCUGGGCCCUUCCCCUUCCUGCACCCCCAGCCAGGGUCUCAGACUGCUCCGGACACACAGUGUUCUUCACGAUGACGCUGACUGUG
rnacentral:lncRNA from 1 species